rnacentral:rRNA from 1 species
CCCGAGAUGAGUUCUCCCUGACUCCUUGAGAGUCCUGAAGGAACGUUGAAGACGACGACGUUGAUAGGCCGGGUGUGUAAGCGCAGCGAUGCGUUGAGCUAACCGGUACUAAUGAACCGUGAGGCUUAACCUUACAACGCCGAAGGUGUUU